rnacentral:misc_RNA from 1 species
GAUGAAGAACGCAGUAAAAUGCGAUAAGUAAUGUGAAUUGCAGAAUUCAGUGAAUCAUCGAAUCUUUGAACGCACAUUGCGCCCGCUGGUAUUCCGGCGGGCAUGCCUGUUCGAGCGUCAUUUCAACCCUCAAGCCCCCGGCUUGUGUUGGGGACCUGCGGCUGCCGCAGGCCCUGAAAACCAGUGGCGGGCUCGCUAGUCACUCCGAGCGUAGUAAUACAUCUCGCUCAGGGCGUGCUGCGGGUUCCGGCCGUUAAAAAGCCUUAUUUACCCAAGGUUGACCUCGGAUCAGGUAGGAAGACCCGCUGAACUUAAGCAUAUCAAUAAGCGGAGGA